rnacentral:ncRNA from 1 species
CACCGCCCGUCGCACCUACCGAUGAAUGACUCGGUGAAAAUUGGGACCGUGAGUCUGUUGCUUUAUUGCGAGUGGAUUGAUGGGAACUUUUUUAAACCUCGCCAUUUAGAGGAAGGUGAAGUCGUAACAAGGUUUCCGUAGGUGAACCUGCGGAAG